AUGUUGUCCGGUGCCGCGGUGAAGCCCUCUGUGUCUCUGCUCCCUCCCUCCUCUCUGCAGCUGUCUGAGGGAUCGGCCUCGCUGCUCUGCCUGCUGUCUGCCUACUCUCCACAGGGGGCGCUGGUGAGCUGGACAGUGGACGGCUCCCAGAUGAAGGACGGGGUUCUGACCAGCGCAGAAGAACAGAAGAAGGACGGUUACACACGCAGCAGCACCCUGACCCUCAGCAAAGCACUCUGGGAAAAGGGGGAGGAGUUUGUCUGUACGGUCUCCCAUGCCGGCGUCAAUCAUCCGGUCACGUUCAGAAAGAGCCAGUGUGAAGCCUAA